GGCACAAACGUGAAGUAGAGUAGUUAGGUAGGGUCAGAUGAUCCUUCUCAUCUACUCCACAUCGAAUUUGGGCCC
rfam:Haemonchus contortus, ISE/inbred ISE, WGS project CAVP01000000 data, contig: Hcontortus_45598